GGAUCAUUAACGAGUUAGGGUCUUCCGGGCCCGACCUCCCAACCCUUUGUUUAUUGAACUAUUGUUGCUUCGGUGGGCCCGUCUAACGACCGCCGGGGGACCGCCGCGAGGCGCCCCCUGGCCAGCGCCCGCCGAUAGCCCAACUUAAACCCUUAUGAAUCGUGUCUUCUGUCUAAAUCAUGAUUACAAAUCAAAACAAAACUUUCAACAACGGAUCUCUUGGUUCUGGCAUCGAUGAAGAACGCAGCGAAAUGCGAUAAGUAAUGCGAAUUGCAGAAUUCCAGUGAGUCAUCGAAUCUUUGAACGCACAUUGCGCCCUUUGGUAUUCCGAAGGGCAUGCCUGUUCGAGCGUCAUUAUCACCCCUCAAGCCCCGUGCUUGGUGUUGGACGGCUGGUCGAGCAAUCGCACCCCUCCUCAUGAUAACGACGGCGACCUGUGGUUCCCCCGGUACAAUGAGCUUCUCACAGAGCACGUAUCGGACAAGGGCGCCCAGGUCCCGGUCUUCUCCUCUCACGAGGAACUAUUUUACAAGGUUGACCUC
rnacentral:rRNA from 1 species